GCGUUGAUGGUGUAAUGGUUAGCAUUGCUGCCUUCCAAGCAGUAGAUCUGGGUUCGAUUCCCGGUCAACGCU
rnacentral:tRNA from 1 species